ACUCCUCCGAGAGCAGCAUGCCCUGCACCAAGAGCCACCACUCUGGCCGGUAACCUGGCAGCGACAGACAACUCCCCAAAGUGCCCUGCGCGCGGUGGAGAGAGGGUCUGCUGAGGGUACUGGGUCUCCCACUUGCUACUUUUAUAUUAACUUGACAUAGAAUCAGACAAUAAAUGAGAGGAGAGAGAAGAGAAGAGGAAAGAAGAGACAGAAAAAGGGAGAGGCGCUGUAAAGGGGAGAGAGAAAACAGAAGCGAGAAUGGGAGAGAAAAAGGAGAAAGAGAACCCAAAGGGUUGAGUUAAAGAGAGAGUAAAAUGGGGACCGGGUGGGGAAACGGUGGGAGGGGGAGAAAUACCCAAAUAUCUGAAUUUGGACUUCUCAAGCUAAAAAUACCACCUCACUGAACUUCACAACCUCCAAUGAGACACGUGUUUCUCCCCUCACCACCACGUCACCGAAUGAUUAAUUUGCCGUCUCAAUCAGAAAUAAUUAUUUAGAAUUGUAUAACAGAUAUAGGACUUAGCAGAAAGAAGCUCAUUUUAUGAAACAUAGCGAAAAAUAUAUGACAUUUAAAGAUGAUGUUGGCUACCUCACGGUAAAAAUUAAGGCUUGCCUUAACGACUCGGCAGUUGUCCAACCAUGUCCUCUGAAAUGGUGAGAUGGCGGCCCAGGGCCAGCAACAAGAGGUGUUCCGAAAUAUUUUGGACUUUAAGUGAAAAUUUUUUUUCUUCCUGUCUCAAAUUUUAUUGUUACGUUUUUCUUCUUCACGAAUUUAUUCCUUUUACCUAAAUUUUACAGAUAAUAUGUGAAUCUUUUAAAAAAUUUUACUGCAAAAUGUCACAUUUUGACUGAAGAUAUGAUUUUAGACGUUAAUUUAAACACAUAGCCAGUUCCAUUUUGCAAACUAACUCUGAAUAGCACCUGAUUCUGAAUUUAGCCAAUUCAACUCACUCUCCCUCUCCCUAUCCUCAAAUCAGAGCAGUGAUUUCCCUGUACAAAACAAUCAGAAUCAUACUAAAAUCUCCAGUCACCUAGAGGAUGUACCCAUUGUAAAUGUCCCUUUAGGUAUUCAUAAGCCAAACGCCCUUCUUUUGAAACACAUACAAAAAGAACGCCUCUGAUUAAUAAUCUCUUUCGCGGCACACUGAGGCCGAAGGCAGGGAGCCGCAGGACGCCAGAGAAGGGCGCAGAAUUCUCAAUACCUAGCAUUUCAAUGCAGAUUCCAAAGAUUCGCUAACUGCUAGGUUUUCCAAGAGGAAAUAAUAUUUGGCAAGCAACGCUUUUGGGAAAGACAACCACAUUCCAAAUACUGGCUCCUUCCUGGGCCUGGGGAGGGGACUGCGAUCGCGGUUACCCGGCACUUCUGUGUUCAUGUGUGUACAAGGUGGUAUGUAGCCCACGCAUGUAGCCAGGCCUAGGUUUCUUUCUUUUCUUUUUCUUCUUCUUUUUCUUUUUUCUUUUUCUUUUUUUUUUUUUUUUUUUUUUUUGAGGCAAGAAUAUUGAAACCAAUCCACUCUUUCUGUAGCUAGCUCCCACGAAGCUGGGAUUUUCAACCUCUUGUUUAUUCGUAAAGCCCAUAUGGAACCCCGGUUGAAUCUCCCCUCUUCGGAUUUUACCAGGAGGCCCUCAGUGCCCCACCGCCGCCCAUGGCACGUGAAGAGAAAGGAGGGAGAGUUGGGAGCCACGAGAGAAGCCGGCUCGGAGCCGCUUCCGUCGGGGCCCAUGUUUCGCCCCAACAGACCCGUCUCUCCUUUCUCUCCCCGAAGGUACUUCCUUAGGCCGGCAGUGUCGCUACGGUGGUAGCCAGGUGAGCACGGGCACAGUCCCGGGGCGGGGGCGGGUAGAGCGGCCCUCUCUCGGGAGCUCCGGUGGGUCUGCGAACCUGCCGGGAGCGGAAGGCUGAGUGGCGCUGGGGGCCCGCGCGGGGCUCCUGGCUCCCGCCGGCAGGGGAACAGCGACACCUACUGGCCGCAUGGGUACCGCGCCCGGGCCGUCAGGGCUGCCCUGGGACGGGGUGCCGGGCUCCGUGGACUUGGGAGGCCGCGGGAAACUUCACCGAAGGCUCUGCGGACUGCUCUAGGACUCGUCCGCCCUGGAGAAGACAAAGCCACGCUUUCUGGAGACCCCUGGGAGGACUGUAGGAUGGAACUGAACACACAGGCACACACGCAUGCCCAUUUUUUCUGGGGAACCGGAUAAACCCUCAGAUGCAGUUGCCCACCGUCCCUUGGUUUUAUGAGAGAGACCCAAGCAGAGGUCGGAGCCUUGACCUCCUCAGGUUCAUGACCCAGGCCUCUUCACCGCCUUUCCCAGUUCAGCACUGACUAAAGAAGAUAUCUUUACAAAUUAGGAAAAGAAAAGAGUUCAUUAUCCUCCCUGAAGCGGGGAAAUGAGUGAGUCAAAGACACAGACUCACAGGCAGCGGUUGGCGCCGGGCACACGAACCGGCCGAGCCCUCCUGCUAGCCAGCUUCGGGCACCUUUAGUGCGCCCUGAGACUGCCGCCAGGGAGUGAAAUUUGGUAGCUCUUCUUUAAGAAUUACAAUCUUCUUAAUUACUCCUGAAAUAAAGGCAAAUUUGGGCUACUGGUGAUAUUUUUGAGAACUACAGGUAUAUAUGCAUAUAUAAAUAUAUAUAUUUAAAGCAUAUAUACCAAAGCAAAUAUAUACAUAAAGUAUAUGCAUAUGUGUGUGUACAUAUAUACUCACACACAUACACAUGUGUGCAUACAUUUACAUAUAUAUCUUCUGCGACAUGGCUUCGGUUGUUGGCUUAUGUUGGGGAAGGUAAGAGGUUGUGAAGGCAUGGCAGGUCUGAUGAAAGCUCAGCAAGGUUGGGGAUGGCAAAAAAGCAAUUCAUGUAUUCCAGAUUCACUUUCUCUUAUCUAGUCUUUUCUGUAAUAGCAUAUAGCCAUUUCAUAUGGGAAGGAGAUGUGAUGUUGGUCCCAGCAGCGGGUAGAGGAGGGGGGAACCUCAGCUUCCAUUAUGCCCCAAGAUGCCUUCUUUUUCCCCUUUUCAGGUUCUGAGGCUCACUUGGGCCUAAGAAACCUGGCUGAGUGUGAUUCUUAUACUAACCUGCUCAAAAGUAAAACAUAUUCCCUUUCCUCGAAACACUGGGGUAUCGGAGCUAAUUUCAUUCCUUAAGAUUUCUAUGUAAAAUAUUGCUUAUUAACAAACCUCAGAACUAAAGGCAGUUUUUUUCCAUUCAAAUUUCAAGAGUUCAUUUUGGAAAUUAUUUUUCUUAGCUUUACAUACCGGUUAGAACUAGGGUCUAAAAGAUUUUGCCUGGAAGGUGGGAGAGCUUAUUAGGACUAAAUUUUUGUCUUCGUUCUCUACAGUCACAAAAGUUUGCUAAUUCUGUUUUAUUUAAAUACAAUUGGAAGCUUUUAGUGUCUCUAAAGCCAGGAGUUUUAGGUCAGGUCCCCCUCUCUCUCCCUCUUAAAAAGAAAUCACUAAAAGGCCCAGGAAACCUGUAUUUCAACUCUGUUCUGCAAGUAUUUUUUUUCUUUUUAAAUUUUCUUACAAGUGGAUUUGACUGUGUCCUGAUAAUACAGGAAUUCACAUCGAAGAAGAGACUCUUAGCAGUUUGUAUGAUAUACAAAUAAACCUAUAUUAUUAAUAAUAAAAUUGGGCUUUAUCCUACUGGCAUUUUUUCUUGGCAAAUCCUGUUUCCCACUGCAUUUCAAAGUCAGCUUUCUCCUUAUAAAAAUGGAAACAUUCAUAGCACAGGAAAAUAUUUAUUAAAAAAUUACACUGGGCACACAACAAGCACCCAUCAACAAAACCCAGUUCAGAGGUGUCUUUGGGUAUUUAAAGCACCUUGAUAAAUGCAGGGGUUGAUUUUUUUUUCCUUUCCUUUUGGCUUUUUAGGAUGUAGCUUUAUUUGUGACUCCAAAAUCUUAGCUAGAAAGGACUCUCAUUGUUUGAUAUUCUUUGGUUUUACUAACUAAAAAAUGUUGAUUUGACAUUAAAGAAGAUAGAAAAAUAGAAUUUCUGUUUCAAAAAUUGUGGAAUUUCUCUUCAUGCUAGUCAUCCCCAAAGCAUUAGUGUAUUAAACUCUAGUAGAAGGAAUGUUUACUGUUCAGUACAGAAAAUUAGGCCAGCAAAAUAAUUUUUUAUUUCACAUUAAAUGUGAAUAAGCAUAUUCAUAAAGGUAAUUUGUAUAUGGGUGUUAUCGUGAUGACUGUGUGAAGUAAGGGAGGAGACAAGGCUUACAAGGCUUUCUGUUUAGGUCUCCCUCAAUAUAUUUUUCUUUUCAUUCCUCUUAUUUAACAAGAAAGUCAAGGAAUAGAAGACAGGCUAAAUUGUCAUUAGACUGUGUCUGUGUUCUUUGUCACGCCUGCCUUUCCUCUGGACUGCCUGGGAGGAUGUGUGUGCUCCUUUCUUGCUUCUUGAGUAGCAGGGAGGAAGGAAUGGAUGCAAGGAUGUGAAGAUUGAUCAGAAAGGCACAUUAUUGCACGUGAAAAUGAGAUGGAUACAUUUGACACCUGGCUAAAUUUCAGCCAGGUGGUUGUCUUGCGAGAGGGGCUUGUGUGUGGAAGCUAGCAGGCCGACUGAAAAAAGUGGGGGGAGACAAGAGGCUUCCUUCAUCUGGAAAUCCGCAGGAUCUUACUGACAUUUGGCUUCAGGGAGUAGAGCUCCAAGGACACCUGUGUGCAUCUGCCUGGAGAUAGGUGUGUGUGUGUUGUGUGUGUGUGUGUGUGUGUGUGUGUAGGGAGAAGUAGGCAUUUCAUCAAAAAUACAUUUGAAAAAUGUUGGUUCUAAAAUUCAGUCGUUAUCAAUUCGGGCCAGGUACCAAAGUCACUAACGUGUCCAGGUUAACUCCUGGAAGGCAGCAACAUUCUUGCUUUUGAUGGUACGAAUAUGGCUUCUUUCAUUUCUUUGGCUCUUUAUGGUACUUCUUUUGAGUGGGGCGAGGCUCUAGCUUUCCCCUCCUCCUUUCUUGAUCUCGGCAAACAAAACCAUUCUACCACUUGAGCCAUCUGCCGCAGGUGUAAUGGAUGGCAGGGGGCCGACCUAACCACACUCCAGUCUCUUCUAGGUCGUCACCGCUCUGCACCAAACAAAUGAGUCCUGUUUCACCACUAGGGUGCCGAGGUGGAUGGUGGAUGCUGGCCCCCGCCCCUGGCAGCGCUCAGCCCUUAGAAACCAGAGCCAGCUGACAACACGCGAAACACACAGGCACAGCGAAAACGCCGAGCCGACGCUCAUUCCCUCUGCCCCCUCCCUCUGCUCUCUGUAACAAGGAGGACACGUACACAGCCUUUACACACUUAAAAGCCCUUGCGACUCCCUCUGAAUU
rnacentral:lncRNA from 10 species